GCAAUCAGUAAGCGACAUCAAACUAAUGAGACCGAUUGUUUGAUAUCAUUGUAGUAGCGGUGCAACUUGUUUCACUAUUGCAGAAAUGUGGUAAUACAGGAAAUUCGAGACAUAUACAGGAUGCUACCCUCGACAGCAUAACCUUCACUCCAGAUCAAAAAUCCAAACCUACAACCUAAUUUUGGACUAAAGGACCUGGAAGGAUUAAUGCUACUAUCCAACCUGGAACUGAGACAGACCAGAUUAAACUUCAAUUAGCACUGAUGUGUGAGGUGUCAAAGCCUUUGAGCCCAACAAAUGGCAGGCUACCCCACCCAAAUCCAGAGGCCUUGAAGCCCCCUCCUGCUGUUCAG
ensembl:lncRNA